rnacentral:rRNA from 1 species
GACGAACGCUGGCGGCGUGCCUAAUACAUGCAAGUAGAACGCUGAAGGAGGAGCUUGCUCUUCUGGAUGAGUUGCGAACGGGUGAGUAACGCGUAGGUAACCUGCCUGGUAGCGGGGGAUAACUAUUGGAAACGAUAGCUAAUACCGCAUAAUAGUAGAUGUUGCAUGAUAUUUACUUAAAAGGUGCAAUUGCACCACUACCAGAUGGACCUGCGUUGUAUUAGCUAGUUGGUGGGGUAACGGCUCACCAAGGCGACGAUACAUAGCCGACCUGAGAGGGUGAUCGGCCACACUGGGACUGAGACACGGCCCAGACUCCUACGGGAGGCAGCAGUAGGGAAUCUUCGGCAAUGGACGAAAGUCUGACCGAGCAACGCCGCGUGAGGGAAGAAGGGUUUCGGAUCGUAAAGCUCUGUUGUAAGAGAAGAACGAGUGUGAGAGUGGAAAGUUCACACUGUGACGGUAUCUUACCAGAAAGGGACGGCUAACUACGUG